rnacentral:lncRNA from 1 species
UGGUAUCAAUUUUCCUCAGUAGCUCAUCCACAGAUGAAUUACCAAACUGAUGUGAUGAAUCGACCUGUCCUCCAAGGGCUUAAAAACGAUUAGACGGUGCUAAAAAGAAUUGGGCAGCUGAAUUGCAUAGCAUCUUGUGGGUAUUAUGUAAUAGACCUUGGACAUCAACAGGGAAAACCUCGUUCACACUAGCAUUUGGGACAAAAGCUAUAGUUCCCAUAGAGCUUGUAAUGAUCUGGAAACCAGACCGCUACCGGCGCUAGGAUCCAGAUCGACUUAAGGUCGCCGGGACCCGUAGCAAGCCUACUAUACAUCAUGUACACCUGAUAAAAUCUCAUACAUAAUCAUACAUUUUCAUAAAAACUUUAAACUUUUCAUAUACCAAGCUUGACCUGUGCAUGCACUAAAACUGUAUACAUAAAACCCCUUACUGGAGCCCUCAUCAAAUGCUCCAGUUGGGUCAACAUCUCAUAUGUCAAGCCUGAUUCAACAUAUAUCAUCAUUAAAACAUUUCAUAAAGAUCAUGUACCAAAAGGGAUUAACCAUACAUUAGGGCCAAGCACAAUACUAAUCCUCAUUACAUUACUGAACAAUACCUUAUAUUACAUUACAAGUCCACUACUAAUCUAUUACAUAGACUAUACCAUAACCUUGCUGACUUUCCCAUAGCUACCUGAGCUCCUGCAAACCUGGGGGUUAGGGGAAAGGGGUGAGCUACAAAAGCCUAGUGAGCAGAAUAGUAAAAACAAUUUAAUAAACAUAUGCUUUCAUGGAAUGCAUCACAACACAAACAAUUUACAUCACGGAUGGACUGACCCAAAAAUCCCUCUACUCUGUGUCCGGCCCUAGAUGGAGCUCCUCAGGACUUCUAUUACAUAACAUAAGCUCUGUGCCAGGGGCGUAGUGCAGGCCACACCUGGUCUUUCCUGUACUCUGUGCCAGGGGCGUAGAAUGGCAGCCCUGGUCUUUCAUUACAUAACAUAAUAUCUAGAGGGCUAAUGGGUCGUCCUAUUAUCCAUCCACAUCAACAACCAAUUAUACAAUGCGGCAUAUUCGUGAAAUCUAAUGCAUCCAACCUAUUUUAUAUACAUGAUGCAUGAACAUGCUUAAAACAUUUGAUUUCUUGAAAUAAAAGAUUAGUUUAGUUCUACUCACCUCUGGCUGACUCUGAACUAACUCUGAAGCAGCUAUCUCACUGUUGGUCACCUCGGUUCCUCAGGUUUGAUCCUACACAGGUGGACUCAAAUGAGGGACCAAACAUACUCUAACAUGACUCUAAUAUCUCCCCAAAAAACCCCCUAAAACAUCAUAAACAUGCAUGGAAAAACAGGCAAAGGAAGACUGGGCAGGGGACUUUCGGCGGCAGGUUCGGCGACCAAAGGUCCCCACAGAGCCGAAAGUCAAGUACUUUCGGGGGCAGGGUUCAGUGGCCGAAGGUCCUUCCAGAGCCGAAAUUCACAACCUUCGGGGGCAGGUUCGGCGGCCGAAACUCCCCUCCAGAGCUGAAAGUACAAACUUUCGGGGGCGAGUUUAGGCGGCCAAAAUUGCCUCCCCUGGUAGGUUCGGCGGCUGAACCUUGCUUCGGCGGCCGAACCUGGAUCCUCCUGGGUGGCAGAACCCGAUUCUGCCAUCCCACAUUCAGCCAUCCCAACUUCCCAACAUGCAUUCAACUAGUCUAAAACAUGCAUAAACACUUAUUCAAGCAUAUAGGGGCAUAAAACUAGCCUAAACCCCAACAAACAUCAACAUAGCAUCACAUAAACAUACAUUUACCAUUUAACUAACAUAAACCCUAACAUUUUACAACUAGCCUAAAAAUGCAUCAAAACCCCUUAACCCUUCAUAAAACUUACUUAAAAACAUAAGAGAAGAUGAGGAUCGACACUUAUCUCUUAAAGAUCGAGAGGAGAUGCGAUCCCAAACUUAGAGAUAUGGAGGAACGAGCUCCGGGGGUCUCCAAGCUUCAAAACUUUGAUCUUAGCUUAAAAUCUUCAAAACAUGGUAAAAACUCAUAAAAAUCUUGAAGGAUUUGAGGAGAAAACACGAGAUCAUCAAGGGGGUGGCGGAGACUCACCUUGUCCGGAAAUAGAGCGAGAAAACUCACCCAUUUUCGGAUAGGGAACCUUUUAUAGGUGGCUGGCCAGACCACCUUUGGAGGCCAAAAGUGCCUCCGUAACUCCACCAUGUUCGGCGGCCGAAUCUGGGUUUCUCCUCCAAAAUAUUUUCUUUCAAAACUCAAUUUUCUUUCUUCAUUAAAACCAUAAAACAUAUCAAAACAUUUUAGAAAACCUUUAUUUUACCCUUCUAGAAGGCUCCGACAUCCGAGAAAUUCCAGAUUCCAAUGGAGAUUCCGCCGAAAGGUAGGAAUUCCGAUGCCGGGGUCUAGCUGGGUAUUACAGAGCUGCAGAUCCCCACUCACUAGGUUCAAUUCAAUGAUGAAAACAUCAGUGGUGAGAAAUUGAAGAGCAACUUGGAUACCCUAAAGAAAAUCAGGGAUGAAGCACAAGUGUGAACAACUGCUUAUCAGCAAAAAAGCAGCUUGGUACUACAACCAGAAAGUCUGGGAGAGAAACUUGAAGGUUAGGGACUUAGCCCUGAGGAUACUAGAAGCCACAGGAAAAGUGGUUGAUGUAGGAAAGCUAACACCAACCUAGGAAGGACCGUUUAGAGUCGCCAAAGUCAUCAGAUCGGGAGUAUAUAGAAUCGAAGAUUUGCAGGAGAAUCCAGAACCUCACGCCUGCAACAUCCAGUAUUUGAAGAGGUAGUUUCCAUAAGAUUUACAAUGUAACUAUUAUAGUGAGGAUAUGAAUAAAAAACUUCUUUUCUAUUCUCAAAAUACUCUUGAAAAGCGAUGAAGACCUCAAUGAGGUAAGUGACCAAUCUCAAAAAUAAGACCGCCGGUACUACAAAAUCGGUUGAGGAGAUGAAGACCUCAAUAAGAUAAGUGACUGGUCUCGAAAAUAAGACUGUCCACACCACAAAACUGAUUGAGGAGAUGAAUACCUCAAUGAGGUAGGUGACGGGUCUUGAAAAUAAGCUAGCCAGCACCACAAAGUUGGCCAGCACCAUAAAACUAGUUGAGGAGAUGAAGAGCUCAAUGAGGUAGGUGACCGGUCUUAGAAAUAAUAUCGUCGGCACCAUAAAAUUGAUUGAAGAGAUGAAGACCUUAAUGAGGUAAGUGAUUGGUCUCGAAAAUAGGCUGCCAACACCACAAAACCAAUUGAGAAAAUGAAGACCUCAAUGAGGUGGGUGAUCAAUCUUGGAAAUAGAUUGUCGACACUACAAAAUCGAUUGAGGAAAUGAAGACCUCAAUGAGGUGGGUGACUGGUCUCGAAAACAGACUGCUAGCACCACAAAACCAAUUGAGAAAAUAAAGACCUCAAUGAGGUGGAUGACUAGUCUCGAAAACAAAUCGCCGGCACCACAAAAUUGAUUGAGGAGUUAAAGACCAUGCUAAAGGCCCAUACUAGCAAAAAUAUAAGCCAAAAGAAAAAAAACCCAGGGUGUCGACCUCAUAAAAUGACCUCGGCACCAAGGCCCAUACUAGCAAAAAUAUAGGCCAAAAGAAAUAAAGGCAGGGUGCCGACCUCACAAAAUGACCUCGGCACCAAGGCCCAUAUUAGCAAAAACAUAAGCCAAAAGAAAUAAACGCAUGGUGUUGACCUCACAAUAAGACCUUGGCACUCUCAAGGCAAAACCAAAAUAAAACUAAGGCCAGGAACUGACUCCUGAAAUGGACCUCGAUCCUGUGAAUAUCAAAUUGCAAAUAAGGAAAAAAUACAACUUUGGAACAAUAUAAACCAAGACAGAGCUGCAUGAAAACUAAAGGCAAUCUUAGGAAAUGCCAACCUCAAAAACUAACCUCUAGCACUAAAUUAGCUCAAAGAAAGAGCUCACAACCCGACCAUCUAAAGGCACUAGAGGAGUAGAAGGCAUAAAAUCUAACGCGUUCAAUAAACAGAAUCCAAAACGCAAUAAGUUAUAUGUUUUUACUGGCAAAACAUCAAACGAGUGGCUAGCUCGGCAUUGCUCACAAACAAUAUAUGAAAAAAUAAUUUAAGUAUGGAAAUACAAACAAAAUCUAAAUAGACGGAAAAAUAAAAGCAAGCAACUGGAAAAUAACAAAAAGGUUCAGAAUUUUUAUUAAUCACUCUUUCCCUACACCAUUCGAAUGGGUUACAAAAGCAGCAAGGGAAGGGAGAGCAAAACUAACUAGGUCAUUUACAAGAUUGCCCUCCUGCAGUCCAAGGGGCAAGGAAGGGGGAUUCUUGAGCAGGGGAUUAUUGUCCUCUCUGUAGCAAACCUCCUCACAGUCGAAAUCGAGUUCGAGGGCUCAUAGGUCAGCCAAUGGAGUGGAGGGGGCAUCACAAGCAGCUUUGAGGCCCUGGUUAAAGCCUAAAGCGAACAUGCAAAAAGCCUCCUUAUAUAUUCUUUCCUUUAACUCUGCCAAGCCCUUAUACUCCUCCAACCGUGCUUCGCAAGCCUAUUGAAUUUUCUCCUUUAGCUCUGAGAGUCCUUGAACUCCUGCAGCCGCACUUCACAGGCCCACUGAACUCUGUCCUCUACAGCCCGAACAUCCCUUAAUAAGGAGGCACACCUCUCCUUUAUGGCAGAAACCUCUUGGCAGAGUUCCCGCUACUGAAGUCAAGACUCCUCCGCUGCUGAGGUCAUGCCCUUCAAGUCCUUGAUGUGUUUGUUAAGCUCAUGCUAGAGGACAGUAGCACAAGUCAAGGCCUCAUCGCGCUAUGCCCAAGCCUCAUCGCGUUGACGAUGAAUCUCCUCCAAAGCAGAUAACUGCAUGAGGGCUUCAUCUCGCUAAGACUCCACCGCAGAAGCCUGUUGGGAAGCUUUGGAAACCUCCUCCCUAUCUCCCCCAACUACUUGGUCAGGUCUUUGAUUUGCCUCCGGAACUCAAUAAUGUGCCCACGAGCCUCAUUAGUGGCAACCAGAUUCUCGUCCCGACAUGCCUCAGCAAUGCGCUCGUCCAUCAAGCUCUGGAGAGACCAAUUUCGAGCAUUGAUCUCCAUGAAUAUGCCAAAGGACUAUCAUACAAAAGAAAAAGUAAAGUUUGAAAAGCUAGAAACUCAAAAACGCUUUGAAAAAAGUCAAACAACUUACCAUGAGGAACAUCUCUCUUAAACUGUCCCCGAGAUCCUCUAGGGAACGCGAGCUAAAAGCCACCUGCUGCUUAGUGGCCCAAGUCAGAUGACUAAUGAGCGCCAUAAAACAAGGGUCAAAAGCAUCCAGGACCCCUCAAACAUCUUACUACUCAGCAUCUCAGCCACGAGAGCUGGCUUUGACUCUAUGGUCACCUCAAUCACAUUUAACAACUCAUUGUCUAGGUUAGACAACAAGUACAUUACCACCAUUUUCCCCUCAUCAAUGGGAAGGGAAAGGGCUGCCUCUAUAGGUUCUGAAGUCUGGGCACAUUUAGCAGCCCUGCCUUUGAUUGUGAUAGCACUCACAGCUUGAAUGGGUGGGACAUCCAAGGGAGCAGUUCUGAUGCCCUCUUUCUAGCUACUCUCAAUCAACUCGCUAAUCGCGAUAGGCUCUUUAGGAACUUCCUUUGGAGCGGAAGGAGCCUUGGAAGAAGCCGGCGCUUUAGGAGAGACCGACGUCUUAGAAGUCGUUGAACGAGAGCCUCUGACACGGGCACUAAAGCCAGAGAAGGUGCAGGGGUAGGAGCAGAAUGACAAGCUGAAGAUGCGAGAUCUGUGGCAUGAAAAACAUCUUUGGUCACAUCAGCUAUAGACUUGUUGGCCUCAAAGGCGGCCAGAGUCUCCUUCGCUCUCCUAGUAUAGAGUGAAGUCCUUGAAAAGCUUGAUGGAACCUAUUGGCAUGGCAGAAGCUGAAAAGGAAAUAUCAGUCCAGUCAGAGCUCGAAACAACAAAAGAAAAAUAUAAAAAGAAAGAAAACUAAAAAAAAUACCAGCUUUCCGACAGUCCUGCAGGUUAGACAUAAAUAUGCACUUCUCGGCGUCAUAUUUAUUCUUUACAUAGGUCAGUUGGAGAAAGCAAAUUCGGUCUACUAGACUUAACCUAGGAAGUUAUUACAGUCCUAAGGAAUUUCUCUCCAAGAGAGGUUGAUAUCCCAGUUAACCCUUGAGCUUUCCUUUCCUUUAGCUCGACAACCACAAAAUUAUCUACCCAACCUUUAAUCAAGUCCUUGUACCUUGUGAAUAUAAAUAACCUAGCCCGAGGACAAAAAUAGCAAAAUCCAUGGGUAGACCUAACUAGGUGGAAGAAAGUACAAACAACUCGAUAGAAAGGACAAAACUCUAACACAGACAGAUGGACUCAAAAUAGCACAUGAAUAGAAUAGAGUUAGGGGACAACAUUCGUGGAAUCACCCUAAAAUGACGGAAAACCUCGAUAAAGAAAAGGGUAAAAGGAAAGGUCAGCCUAAAGUCACGCUGUUUGACGAAAAAAACCAAGUUACCCCCUGCUGAGUGUCUAUCAGGUUCGUCGGCAGUGGGUAAGGGAGAACAAUUCAUUCAUUGGGCAAAGGAGCUCCAAUUUUAAAAAUAAUGGUGUUAGAAUAGUCACGGAAAAAAUAGUGUCAGAAGAAGGAAGGAGUAACAGAGGACACCAGACUCACUACAUUGGGAAUUCUAAUAGAAGCCAUGAGAGGAGUAAGACGUACCUCGAAUUAAAAAAUCAUGGAUUAUAGAGAAAAAAAAGAGCAAGAUAGCAGAAGCAGCGCAAGAGGCAGAGUAACGAGUGAAAGCAAGAGCAUAAGUUUGAAAUAGAUAAAGGUAAAGAAGAGACAUUUUGACAGAAUUCUUCUAGAGUCGUGCGAUAAUAAUUGAAAUCUCAAAAUUUACCCGCUCAUAAAUCAUGAGAUAAUUAAUAAGCAGGUAAAUGGGCAUUUGAUAACGACCGGGCCCUGGACGCUCAAGCUGUGGCUAAGCCCGGACUAGAAAGGCUGGGCCUUAGUUUUAUUAGGGUCCAAUACAUGGGCCUACUCCUUGUACAAGUCCUGGACUUGUCCUGACGAGUCGGCCAAGGCACGGACCUACAUGUGGGGGACCUAGCCUCAGAUAUCUGUUAGCCCCAUGGGGCAACAAACUCCGUGAUACUCAGAAUCGUGUCCAAAUAGUACCGGAUGGAAUUAAAUGGCCGUCUGACGAUAGGAAAGGAUGCAGUAUAUCUAUAUGUACGGUCAAUAUGACUAUGAUAGGAUUAUAUGAACGCAGAACAGCGGUUACACAUCGAUAGAAGAAAAAAAAGAAUAAAAAAAUAAAUUAUGAAAUAAUUAAUAAGCAGGUAAAGGGGCAGUUGAUAACGAUCGGGCCCUGGACGCUCAAGCCGUGGCUAAGCCCGAGCUAGAAAGACUGGGCCUUUGUUUUAUUAGGGUCCAAUACAUGGGCCUACUACUUGUACAAGUCAUGGACUUGUCCUGGCAAGUCGGCCAAGGCACGGACCUACAUGUGGGGGACCUGGCUUCAGAUAUCUGUUAGCCUCAUGGGGCAACAAACUCCGUGAUAUUCAGAAUCGUGUCCAAGUAGUACCGAAUGAAAUUAAAUGGCCGUCUGACGAUAGGAAAGAAUGCAGUAUAUCUAUAUGUACGGCUAAUAUGACUAUGAUAGGAUUAUAUGAACGCAGGACAACGGUUACACAUCGAUAGAGAAAAAAAAUAAAAAAAAAUAAAAGAAGAGAGACAAACCAAAUUUACUAAAAUAUAUUUUCAAUCUAAUCUCUUACGACGAUUAAUAUUUAUAAUAGAUAUAUAUGUCUCAACUUUUUAAGAAUAUUUGGCGAUCAAACACAAUAUGCAAUGAAAGAUUACAUACAAGUAAGAGGUGUGAUGUAGAUAUGUAGAGGAAGUGUAAAGUCACAAGAUAUAAUUUUAAAAAUAAAUAAAUAAAUAAAUAAUAUAUAUAUAUAUGACAGAUACGAAAAAGUAAUUUUGCAUUUUUUAUUUUGCCCCACUUGCCCACAAAGAAGGCAGUUUUCAUCUCUAUCCCUCCCUGAAUAAUUUUUCUGAUGACAGUUGAGGAAAUUUGGUAAGAUAUGAUUGUGUGGCUUUAAUGUUUUGUUUUUGUUGUGAAAGGGGCGAGGCAAAUGUUUUUGGGUCCACUAGCUUUUUUUUUCUUCUAAAUUGUCUAAAAGAGAGAUUUGUCAAACCAUGGUCGGUGGAGAAAGUUAUUUCGAAUUUUGGGGAGAGGAAAAAAAUUUCAGAUUCUUUUUCACUUUCAGAUUGGAUGGUUGAAUUUGUAUCAGCCGUAGUAUCAAGCUAUUAAUAAAAAAAUAAUAAUUUGUUUCAACAGUGCUAUCACGCUAUUAAUAAAAAAAUAAUAAUUUUUUUUAUAUCUAUUAAAAAUAUUAAUAUAAAAAUUAUAUUAUAAAAUAUUAAUUUAAUAUAAAUUAAAUUAUAUAUUCAAAAUAAAAAUAAGUGGCUUUUAAAAAAAUAAAAUAAAAAUAAGUAAAAUUACAAUAUAUUUUUUAUAUUUUUAAAUUAAUAAUUAUAUUUUAAUUAUUACUAUAUGUAUUUUUUAUGAUAUUAAAAAAUUACCGUUAUUUAUUAAAAAAAUAUUAUAUAUAUUAUUUUAAUGUAAUUUAAAUUAUAGAUUUUGAUAUAAAAAUUAGUGAAAAUACAGUAUUUGUUUUUUUUAAUAAAUAUUAAUUAAUUAUUAUAAAAGGAGGGGAAUUAAUUGAAAAAAAAAAAGAGUAGGGAAGAAAAUUUAAAACCAAAGAAGGAAAUGAGAAAAUAAAAGAAUGAGAGAAAAUGAGAUUGAGGAAAAUAAUCAACUAAUAAACAAUUAUCUUGUAUUGAAUACUUGCACCUAUCCUUACUGAUUGACUAAGAAACAAAGAAAACUUUAUUUUACUUACUGUCGUUUUCUGCAGACAUGAAUUCUCUUCUGAACAUCAAGGAAUCAGUCAGACUAUUUUAGAGAUUAUAAAGAUGAUGCAGUAGUGAAGGAAGAUUAUUCACAAACACCAUAGGAAAGCUUUUCUCACUUGUUUCUGGUGAUUUUCUUCAAUCAGUUCUUGGGGAAACAUGAGUUCAGCUCUUUCAACAGCUUCGGCCACCAGAAGGUAAAAUGACAAGCUGGCUUCUAAACUCUUUCAAUUUCUACAACAAUGAAAAAAAAAUUCAAAUACCCUUUUGCAGGCUAGAGGGCAAAGUAGCACUAAUUACUGGUGGAGCCAGUGGCAUAGGCGAGAGCACAGCUAGGCUAUUUAUCAAACAUGGAGCCAAGGUACUCAUCGCAGACGUUCAAGAUGAUCUUGGCCACUCACUCUGCCAAGAAUUCGACUCCCAAGAAACUCUCUCUUACAUCUACUGCGAUGUCACUUGUGAUUCUGAUGUUCAAAACGCUGUGGAUACUGCAGUCUCCAGGUAUGGAAAGCUCGACAUAAUGUUCAGCAAUGCAG